GUUUCUGUGGUGUAGUGGUUAUCACGUUCGCUUGACACGCGAAAGGUCCGCAGUUCAAUCCUAGGCAGAAACA